rnacentral:rRNA from 1 species
CCUACGGGACGCAGCAGUGAGGGAUAUUGGUCAAUGGGCGGAAGGCUGAACCAGCCAAGUCGCGUGAGGGAGGACGGUGCAAUGCGUCGCAAACCUCUUUUGCCGGGGGGCAAAAGGCGGGACUCGUCCCGUCCUGAGGGUACCCGGAGAAAAAGCAUCGGCUAACUCCGUGCCAGCAGCCGCGGUAAUACGGAGGAUGCGAGCGUUAUCCGGAUUCAUUGGGUUUAAAGGGUGCGCAGGCGGACCUUCAAGCCAGCGGUAAAAUUGCGAGGCUCAACCCCUUCGAGCCGUUGGAACUGG